AACGUAGGACACAAGCGUUAUCCGGAGUUACUGGGCGUAAAGGGCGUGUCGGCGGGUUGGUCAGUCUGCUCUGAAAGCUCCUGGCUAAACUGGGAGAGGCGAGCGGAGACUGUCGGUCUAGAGUGAGGAAGAGGAAAGUGGAAUUCCGCGUGUAGUGGUGAAAUGCGCAGAUAUCAGGAGGAACACCGGUGGCGAAGGCGGCUUCCUGGACCUGUCCUGACGCUCAGGCGCGAAAGCUAGGGGAGCAAACAGG
rnacentral:rRNA from 1 species